AAAACGACUCUCGGCAACGGAUAUCUCGGCUCUCGCAUCGAUGAAGAACGUAGCGAAAUGCGAUACUUGGUGUGAAUUGCAGAAUCCCGUGAACCAUCGAGUCUUUGAACGCAAGUUGCGCCCUAUGCCAUUAGGCUGAGGGCACGCCUGCCUGGGCGUCACGC
rnacentral:rRNA from 1 species